UGUGCCCGAGGCGCCGCCGCCGCCUCGAGGCGCCCGGGGCUGGUCUCGGGACCCCCGUUCCUUCCCCUCCUUCACCCUUCUCUCUCCUUCUCCCUUCCCUCUCCUUCUCUCCUCCCCCCCCCCCCCCAAAAAAAAAACAACUCUGUCCCGAGUUCUUAGCCUCCCGGCGUCUGUCUCGCACGGCAGAGCGCACUUUCCCGGCGCUGCGGAGUUCCCUUAUGGAAGGGCAGGUGUUUUCACCCAGCGGUUUUAUUUCUGAGCCGGGAACGUGGUGUUUCAGGGGCGCGUUAGGCUCUGACAGUUGCCUUUGGUAAAAGAAGCCAGGAAGGCGUUCUCCCAAAAGUCUUUUAACUUUUAGAAGUUUAUCUUCAGGCUGUUUGUGAAAGAAAGGAGCCAUGGACUGACGAUGGAAGGAUGUUGGUGUGUGGUGAGUCACAGAAGUUGGAGAUUUUGGCAGAGGAACCAUGACGCUCUGCCUCUCUCUGAUGAUUUCUGAGUUACUGAGUUCAAAACACCUGCCUUAUUCCAAGAACACAAUAUGAGAUCUAUCAGUUGAAGUAUUUGGAAGACUUAUGGACUAUAUAGAUAGUAUAUCAUGGCUUAAAUGGAUUGUGUGCAGUUCC